rnacentral:rRNA from 1 species
UACGUAGGGUGCAAGCGUUGUCCGGAAUUAUUGGGCGUAAAGAGCUCGUAGGCGGUUUGUCGCGUCUGCUGUGAAAACCUAAGGCUCAACCUCGGGCCUGCAGUGGGUACGGGCAAACUAGAGUGCGGUAGGGGGAGAUUGGAAUUCCUGGUGUAGCGGUGGAAUGCGCAGAUAUCAGGAGGAACACCGAUGGCGAAGGCAGAUCUCUGGGCCGUAACUGACGCUGAGGAGCGAAAGCGUGGGGAGCGAACAGG